AUCUUAAUAAAUAUCUAACAAUUAGUACUUCUCCAGGUUUUAUGCUGCAGAGGUUGUCAUUGGCUUGGAAUAUCUUCAAUGUUUAGGAAUAAUUUAUCGAGACUUGAAGCCUGAAAAGAUUUUACUCCAGAAAGAUGGGCAUAUAGUAUUAAGUGACUUUGAUUUAUCAUUCAUGACGUCCUGCAAACCCUGAAUUAUUAAGCAUCCACCACCUAAUAGGAGAAGAUCCAGGAGUCA